AUGGUGUCCAUUCCCUCCCAGCCCUCUCGAGGGACAGGGGACCUCAAUGCCGCCUCUGCGCGGGGAAUGAGUGAUGGAGGUGCUGCGGGCUGGGGCGACCUGAGAGGAGGCUCCGGGGGUGAUCCCCAGCCCCGCGGGGGCGGCCGUGUCCUGCAGCCCUGCCCAAGGAGCUGCCUCCCGCCUGGGUUGGGCCGAGGAGCGGGGCCGGGCAGGUGCUUGCUGGCCCCGGCGGGAAGAUGGAGGCGGCGGGCGGGGAGCGGUGAUCGCCGCGGGCUGCGCCGCUCGCCUCGCUCGGGGCUCCCCAGACAUGUUCAACCAGCAGCAGUUCCAGCAGCAGCUGCUGCAGCUCCAGCACCUCCUCCAGCAGCAGCAGCAGCACCAUCACCACCCUCCGGCGCAGCAGGGAGGCCGGUAAGCGCCACUACGCGAGGCCGGGGAUCCGCGGCCUGUCCCGGGGGACCGCUCUCCUCCGCCUCCCUGCACUCCGUCCCUCCUCGCCGCGGUGGGGCUGCUCUCCCCUGGUGGGGAAGGCGACAAAGGGAGGCCGGCAGGGGUUGGGGGGCGCAGGCCUCGAUCGGGGCAGAGCCUGGAGGCACCGAGGGGGCCGGGGGUGUGCGACGGAGGGCGGCGGCCCCUGUGGUGUCUUUCCGUGUUCCCUCUGCGCUCCGGGAAUCCCUGUCCGCCGUCCGGGGCUGGUGUCCCCGAGAGCCCGUGGGUGACCCGGGGAGCCCGUAUAGGAGCCGUGGGUGGAUGCUCCGAGCCGAGCGUCGCCCCUCAGGGCGGGCAGGGCAGCCGGGGCUCAGGGAAAACGCCUUCUCCUGCAGAAACAGCACUCAGCAGAGCCACCCUCAGCAGACACGAGCACUUUAUUGUUUUAUUGUUGAACUUAAACUGUCUAUUUAUUUUCUUUCUCUCUCUGGGUCUGCUGGUCUGGGUGUGAUGAUUUAACUUAUUUCUGCAGUGGCACCAGCGCUUAGGCUGUGGCUGAGCACGGUGGGGCAGGGAAGGAAUGAAGAAAAUUGUGUUUUGUUUGUGAAAGGAGAAAGGAUAUUUGCCCGAAAAUAACCACGGUUUUCCUAAAAAAUGCAAGAUGUAAAACAACUUGGAUAGGAGCAGUUGUCCCCGAUGAGCUGAGAUUUAAAGAGAUUUAAGAACCAGCACAAAUUCUCUGAAAUUAUGCAUUUAUUUGCAGUUACUAUUAUCUUUAAAACCUUAUUCUUUGCAAAUUCAAAGCAAUGGGGUGCAAAUUUAGGAAGAAAGUUAAUUUGUUAUUUAAGGAAUUAUUGUGUUACUUUAUCCUUAUAAGGCAUUUUUCUCUGAGGUAAGCGUGGGAAUUUUUCUGUUUUACAAGAAAUAUGAACCUGCAAAUCUUUUUACCAUUUUUAUAUGUUUUAUGCUAUAAAAAAAAAGCUGCACUUAAAAUGCCAGUAAGGGGCUGACUGCUAGAUAGCAUGGCUGCAUCUUACACCUUUAAAAGUAUGAUUUUUGUGGUAUAAAUAUAUCAGCUCAGAGACUGGAACAAUCUAGAGCAGCAAAUGUGAAGAUGAGCUGCUGUGAAUUCUGUUAAAGGGGUUGGGUUUUUUUGUCAGGGUGGAUAUUUCGAUCCGUGUUUGUACCUCUCUUCAGCUCUGACAGAUUUAGCUGUGUCAGCAGCGUGCAUAGAGGUGGGCCUGACCUUGCAAUCGCCUGAAGAAGUGCCUGCCAGUUUCCUCAGACUUUUCUCUCAUGUCUGCUCCACCCUCCUUAGAACUGGAGAGGUCUCUGCUGCUUCUUCCUGCUCGUGUUUUAAAUAUGAAGGCCGUGGUUUAUUUUUCCAUCUGGUUCUUGCAGUUAGGGGGCACCAUUGACAGUUCUGACCUGUCUGGCUCCGUGUGGGAGGUGUUGAUUUUUGGGAAAAUGAGCUCUAAGCUACUGCGAAAACUCCCUGGUUUUUAGAACUUUUUUGUUG
rnacentral:lncRNA from 1 species